rnacentral:miRNA from 1 species
UUUUCUUUUAAUUGGACGAGAUA